UAAAGUUGCUUCAUCGGUCCACAUAAUC
rnacentral:sRNA from 1 species